rfam:Leuconostoc citreum KM20, complete genome.
GGAGAAUUACCCAAGUCUGGCUGAAGGGAACGGUCUUGAAAACCGUCAGGUCGAGAAAUCGGCGCGUGGGUUCGAAUCCCACAUUCUCCU